CUUCUCACAGCGCACUGAAGAGGGGCUGGCUGAAUCACCUGCACCCUGUAGCUGCUCAUGAAUGUAGAUGUUGCAAAAAGGAAUUGAAUUUAUAGUUAUGGGCAGCCUUUAGGACUUCGGCAGAAGCUCCGUGGAUUUCACUCCCUACAUUCAGUAGUUGCAUCUGUUUUAAAAGUAAAGAGUUGCCUGCACAAAGAAUCAUAGAAUCAUUAAGGUUGGAAGGACCACUCUAAGAUCAUCUAGUCCAACCAUUUGCCCAUACCUGUGACUGCUAUAGACCAUGUCCCUCAGUGCCACAUCUACCCUUUUCUUGAACACCUCCAGAGACGGUGACUCCACCACCUCCCUAAGCAGCCUGUUCCAGUGCAUCACCACUCUUUCUGGGAAGUUUUUCCUAAUAUCCAGCCUGAACCUCUCCUGGCACAACUUGAAGCUAUUACCUCUCAUCCUAUCACUUUUACCUGGGGGAAGAGGCCAACCCUAACUUGCUACAACCUCCUUUCAGGUAAUUAUAGAGUGAUAAGGUCUCCCCUGUGCCUCCUUUUCUCCAGACUGAAUAAUCCCAGUUCCCUUAGAUGCUCCCCAUAAGACUUGUGCUCCAGAACCUUCAUGGCUUUGUUGCCCAUCUCUGGACACUUUCCAGGGCCUCGAUGUCUUUGCUGUAGUGUGGGACCCAAAACCAAACACAGUGCUUGAGAUGUGACCUCGCCAGUGCUGAGUACAGAGGGAAUGCCCACCAAACAUGAGAUUAAAAAAUAAAUAAAUCACAGACUGGGACCCAGCAGCAAGAAGAAGGUCUUGAAAUUGGUGAUGAGAGCAGAGUUUCCUGGAGGUUUCUAUGUAUCAGGCCCACUUCAACGCAGUUCAGGGAAGUGCAAUGCAAUGGCAUGUGCACAGAUUUCCUAUUGCAUGGACCUGAUGGUCAUCCUUAGUUCAUAACCCAACCUCCCACCAUGGAUCCUCUAUGUAUUAGUCAGUCUGGUGUCAAGACCACUGUGCUCUUCCCAGAGCCAGCUUGUCAUCUUGCCUUGAUUCAAACAUGCUUUUUGGAAGAGAGCCUUUUUACAGCAGAAGACAUUUGCUCCAUUUCCUCCAUCUACUUGGCUCUUUCCAAAGCCUCCUAUGAAACCAGUCCUCCUUGAAGGAUCUGUUUCCAGGAUAGGAAUCUGAAAGCAAUCACUGCUGAGAAAACAUACCCAAAGCCAGCUUCCACUGUGCAGACGAGUGGUGUAAGGAAACCUUCACAAAGAAGGGAUAAAAGGUGUGACACAUGCAGUGGGGUGGCGCUUGUCAGGCCCAGUUCAGCCACCUGUAGUCUGAAGGUCUGUGGCAGAGCUGAUCUCCCUAUGCUCAGCAGAUGGAAAUUGGAACUUCUAGGUGGUUCAUUUGACAAGUGGACAUAAAAUGGGUCAAGUGAGAAAUGAUCCUCCUCCUCCUUCUCUCUUCUUAAAAAGAGAAUAAUUUGCCACUGGAUUGGAAACAAAUGAGUACCACGUUGUCACGGCAGGUCUAUCUGAUUCCCAGAUAUGUUCCUUGCAAUUGCUAAUUCUUUUCAUCAUGAAAAUGGCAGAGGUGAAAUAACAAGUAUUCACAGAGCUCAUUUAACGGAGUGAUUUCCAUUCAUUUCUCAUAGAAAUGGGCUCAAGACACUGUCCGAACUGCACUGAGAAGGAACUGAAAAAUAGUGGUCUGGAUUCAUUCCUCUUCUAUUUAGAAGUUCAGCUUGGCGUGCUUGCAGUAUGUAUGCUACACGAUAUGGAAGUACUUACCCCAAAGAAAUGCGGAAUGUAGAGUCUUUAUCCUGGGAAAGAUCUGGUAGAGGUGUGUACAACUGUCCCUCAGAGAAGCUGAAUUGGAAACAGCUGAUCACAUUCUCUCACUUUUAUCAAGAGUGGAACUCAUCAACUGAAAUAAACUCGUGGUGGAUUCCAAAGAAACAUGAGAGUUGCCUAAUGGUAAGGAAUUAAAUUUCAGAACUCAUUGCCUUGGGAUGCAGGGAUGGCUUCAGAGAGAUUAAGUACAUCUGCAACAUAACGAUUAUUCAAAGGCUGAUUUCAGACUUGGGACUCUGGACAGUUGUGAAUAUUUGGUCUGAAUCAGGAUGACCAUACAUACACUCUUUGUUUUGUUCUUCUGAAUGAGUGCCUGAGCAAUCAUUGAGGGACAUAGGAAGCUUGACUUUCAGCCAGCCAUACCAGUGAUUUCUCUGAAGGUGGCAUGAAGGACUCAAAGCAUUGCCCCACGUCAUUCAAGAGAUCUGUGGUGCAGCAGGGUAACUCAGCUCUACAGCUAGCAACUGAAAACAUCCAUCAUGUCUACUCAGCAUUUUUUUGACUUACACAGCUUUACCCCAGAGCUCAAGCAAUUAUUUGCAGCCUGAAAAAAAGGGCAGCUACAGUCACUCGUAAGAUUUGGUCUCCUGCAUGGCUAUACAGGAGACUUCAGUCAUCUUGUGGGCACAAAUACAGUUUCUGAAUUGUGAGUGUAUAUAUGUAUGUUAUCAUACUCUUUCACUGUGAAAGUAGUAACUACUGUAUGUGGUAAAAUGAUAUAUUGUUGUCCGCAGAAUGUCUUUGGCAACAGGAUGUUCACUAGCCUUGGAAUUUUGCCUUGUAUAAAUAUUUUUAAUCUACUCCAUGUAGGCAUAUUUUGGCUGCAAAAUAAAGGGUUUUGGAGAUUAAUAUAUCCAGGCUCAGUUCUGCUUAUACAUCCUACAUACAUCAAGUUUUUAUUGAACUAUGCAUCUAGAAUCUUCG
ensembl:lncRNA